rnacentral:lncRNA from 1 species
AAUUCCCGUUUUACCGUUCGCACCAUUGUUUGAUUGUUUUUGCAAGACAAAAAAAAAUCCUAAUUACAAGUUUUAUAAUGAUAUUGAUUACAAUAUUCUUUUGUUUUUCAGGAUCCAUCUUGUGUGAUCUCUACUUCUGUUGAUGAAAGAAGUCAUGAAGUCUGAAAAAUGACAAAUUUUGAAUCAAAAAAUGAAUUUUAGUACAAUGACAAUGUAAUUUUAAUUGCAAUUGUUCUUUUUUUUUU